GUUAAUUUUUCUAAUUUCUGCUGAUUUUUCCCGUGGACCCACUGACUCUCCCACACAUUCUGCCUUAUGAUAGAAGCGCUUCUGUGAUGAAAGAAAGUAAGGCCUAUUCAUGGGAAAAGCUCUGUCUUGCACCACAUUUGGAGGAUGUGACACCAUGCGAACAUGGGAAGCUGGAAAGAGAAAGGACAGGCAUGGCAUGGAGUUUACUUUGCCAACACUGGGUUAUAAAUGUGUCUGGGACCUUGGCAUGUGUCUGUGUGGCCCAGGACUCCGAAGCAUCCCUGAGUUGCAGCCAGGAGGACCUGCAUCCAUGCACACAGCAAAACAGCCUUUUGCACUGACACGGUGGUGUAAAAAGGUGGGCCAAAAGCUGCUGUUUCAAGGCCAACAGGAAAAUAUAUUGCACUUCCCUUCUGUGUGCCACAAAGCCUUUCCUAGCAGGGCUCCUUCUGUGCUGCUUCAGGGCAGGAGGCUGCUUCCCCAUCCAAUGCUGCUGCACAGGCAAAGCUGGAACACGAAGCCCAUGUAGGCAAGGGCUAAUACUGCUUGAGCAAACAUGGAUGAAGAAAUAACUCUUUGGCAGAAAAGUUUUAAAGCUGCGAACAUUAAAUAUUACUAUGCAGUGAAAUGCUGGAGCAGUGAGAUCCAUAUACAUUCACCAUGGUCUAUAUCUCAUACAAGAGAGACAAGAUUUCAGGAAUAAGAAGAAACUGCUUUUAAGCUGAUUUCUAAUAAAACCAGGCUUAUUAUUUAAUGGUGUGAUUUAUGCCAGGAGGACUAUUGGUAGAGCCUGGCACUGCUG